rnacentral:tRNA from 1 species
GACAGCUUGGCCGAGCGGUUAAGGGCGAUAGACUCGAAAUCUAUUGGGGCUAACCCGCGUGAGUUCAAGUCUCACAGCUGUCG